AUUGAACGCUGGCGGCAGGCCUAACACAUGCAAGUCGAGCGGAGGGGCAGAGGGGUGAGUAAGGCCAAGGAAUCUGCCUGGUAGUGGGGGAUAGCGUCAGGAACCGGGCGCUAAUACUGCAUACACUCGGAUGAGCCUAGGUCGGGUUAGCUAGUUGGUGGGGGAAAGGCCUAGCAAGGCGUCGAUCCGUAACUGGUCUGAGAGGAUGACCAGUCACACUGGAACUGAGACACGGUCCAGACUCCUACGGGAGGCAGCAGUGGGGAAUAUUGGACAAUGGGCGAAAGCCUGAUCCAGCCAUGCCGCGUGUGUGAAGAAGGUCUUCGGAUUGUAAAGCACUUUAAGUUGGGAGGCGUUACCAACAGAAUAAGCACCGGCUAACUCCGUGCCAGCAGCCGCGGUAAUUC
rnacentral:rRNA from 1 species